UACGUAGGCAGCGAGCGUUGUUCGGAGUUACUGGGCGUAAAGGGUGUGUAGGCGGUUGUUUAAGUUUGGUGUGAAAUCUCCCCGGCUCAACUGGGAGGGUGCGCCGAAUACUGAAUGACUUGGAGUGCGGGAGAGAAAGUGGAAUUCCUGGUGUAGCGGUGAAAUGCGCAGAUAUCAGGAGGAACACCGGUGGCGAAGGCGGGUCUCUGGGCCGAUACUGACGCUGAGGAGCGAAAGCGUGGGGAGCGAACAGG
rnacentral:rRNA from 1 species